GGCUGGUUAGCUCAGCUGGUUAAAGCAUAGUGCUAAUAAUGCCAAGGUCUUGGGUUCAAUUCCCAUACUGGUCA
rnacentral:tRNA from 1 species